CAAUCCCAAUAUAAGAACAGAGUAGGCAGCUGCCCUGCUCUUAGAGUAUUAUAGUCCUAAGUAAGCUGUUAUUACAACAAGGGCUGGGUAGUUCUCUUGAGGAGAAACUUCCUGUAGUUUCUUGGCUCUGAGUUUUCAUAAUUACCUUAUGGACAAGCACUGAUCCUUACUAUUCAGACUGAUUUCAAGAGAAUCUUAGCCGGCUGCUGCUCUCAUGAAGAGACAACACUUGAAAACAUAAUAGCCAGAUGAUCUCAAGAUGCAAGAAUCCGUCAGAUGUUUUCUGAGACCUAUUGAAAUAUGCUUCAGUUUCACAAAAGCAGGAAAUGUUAAUUUUUCAGCUCUUCUCUAAACAUAGGGAUGAUCUGUAAAGGGAAUGCUGUUGUCACAGCAAAUGCACACUUGAAUGAUUCAAACCCAAUUAAUGGUUAUGUGAUGCACUUUGAAUAUAUUUGAUGCAGUAACAACUGGUAAACAUCUUUUCAGAUUCAGCUGCUGAAAAGAUUCCACCUUUUUCUUUUAACAUAAGAGCAGUGACAUUUUUACCAAAACAACUCUAAAAGCCCCCUCACUUGAAGUAUAGCAAGUAUGCCAUGUUUUUACUUUAGCACAUACAAAAUUCCUUGUUAAGCACAUCCUUUGGGCUUAUACCAUUUUAUUUUUUAGUAGCAGAAAAAAUGUUGAUGGGCACAGAUGUUUGCAGUAACUAUAUUUAUUAAAGCUUAAGUUUUACUUUUAAUGUAAAUUAAAAGUGUGUGUGUGUAUUUUAAAAAGGAUGAUUAUUCUCUCCCAUUCCUUUUUGUUUUACUACCUAAUCUGGAGUCAGGUGUUGUGGCAGGCACCUGUAAUCCCAGCUACUUGGGAGGCUGAGGCUGGCAGAUUGCUUGAACUCAGGGGUUUUGGGCUGCAGUGUGCUAUGCCAAUUGGGUGUCUGGUGCCACUGACAGCUUGGCCAGCGGGUAGCUGAAGGAAU